UACGGAGGGUGCGAGCGUUAUCCGGAAUUACUGGGUUUAAAGGGCGCGUAGGCGGCCUGUUAAGUCGAACGUGAAAUCCCCGGGCUCAACCCGGGAACUGCGUCCGAUACUGGCAGGCUUGAAUUCGGGAGAGGGAUGCGGAAUUCCAGGUGUAGCGGUGAAAUGCGUAGAUAUCUGGAGGAACACCGGUGGCGAAGGCGGCAUCCUGGACCGAGAUUGACGCUGAGGCGCGAAAGCCAGGGGAGCAAACGGG
rnacentral:rRNA from 1 species